AUGUUCACGAGCACGGCUCCACCCCACCCCAGCCAGACAAAUCCCUUCCCUCCUCCGACUCUGCUGAAUCAGGUUGGAAUUUCUCAAAAGCAAACAAACAGGCGAGCUCAGAGUUGCGGUUUUCAGAGCUCAGAUUCCUCCCGUCUGUCUGAGCCAGCAUCCAGCCCGGCCGGCCGCCCCCAGGCAGGCUGGACGGGGCCCCCAGCUGAGCCCCCCAGUCCCCGGCUGUUGGAGCGGAGUGGGGGUACCAGGCUCAGAGCUGACCCGCAGCACCGGGCCGCCCCACUUCCCUCUCGAGACCCCGCAAGCGAGGCAGGAGGCCGCGGACGGCGCCAAACACAAGGGACACCUGGCCUGGCCGGGAACCAGGAGGCCGAGAAGGGAAUCGGGGCCAGUCUGGCCCACACGUGGACAGCAGCGGUGAGCAGCAAGGCCGGUCCAAGCUGUUUCGGUAGGUGGCCUCAAAUGCUUCCACAAGAAGGUGGCACAUGGAUGGGGCUCAGCUCGCUCUGGUCAGCUGGAUCAGGGCUGAGAGCUGGGGAGUCAGCCUGCACUGGUGGGGGAAGGUGGAACUGGCCCCUUCAGCAGAGUGCCCAGAAGGUCCCCGAGGCCUCAGGUGUCGCUGCUCCCCUAAGCACCUCCGACAAGACCAAGACGACUGCUCAUCACUUUAGAGGAAAUGUUUGCGGAUUCUUCCCUACCAUCUGCUAAACCCAGCCACAGGCUGCCUUCAGGGGAGACUGCCCCUUCAGUCUGGGGAGCUGGAACGUGGAGCUACCCUAUAGAUGUCUGCAGGGCUGUCCCUGGGCGAAGGAAGCAGCCCGGGUCUAGGGGAGAAAUUUCUGGAAGGAGGUUUGUUGCUCCCAGAUGGAGAAGAGAAGUGAUGUUGUGCAGAGUGUCUGGGAGUCAAGCAAAGGAGGGGAGCAUUGGGAAGGGAGGAGGGGGCGGGGGACAUGGGGCCACUGCACUGGAUCUGAAGGGCAUUUUCCUGAUUCCAGCUUUGGGCUCCUGGCCUUCCUCCUGGGACCCUCGGCGGGAGUCUGUUCUCUGCCCGUCAGCUGCCCAGGGGCUGCCGACCUGGGGCCUGGAUGCUGAGGACCUUGGAGCCCACAUGUCCAUCGGCCCAGCGGGAGCCUGAGCCCUCCUCCCUCCCAGCCCAGGACUGGGGAAGUGAGGACUAACCAUGUUCUGGAUCAGGGCAUAAGGGCAGAGGUCUGAGGCUGGAGGACGUGUCCCAGGUCAGCCCAGGGGGGCCUCAGGGGCUAUUGUUGUGAGUAGCGGUCAUUGAUUGGUCGGUGCCCAGCAUUGUGUCAAUAAAUUGUACCUGUUAUAUACACACCUC
rnacentral:lncRNA from 1 species